rnacentral:ncRNA from 3 species
UACGUAGGGACCAAGCGUUGUUCGGAUUUACUGGGCGUAAAGGGUGCGUAGGCGGCGUGUCAAGUCAGUUGUGAAAUCUUAAGGCUUAACCUUAAGCGGUCAACUGAUACUGUCAUGCUAGAGUGCAGAAGGGGCAAUCGGAAUUCUUGGUGUAGCGGUGAAAUGCGUAGAUAUCAAGAGGAACACCUGAGGUGAAGACGGGUUGCUGGGCUGACACUGACGCUGAGGCACGAAAGCUAGGGUAGCAAACGGG